CAGAGUAGAAGUUUCAACUCCUUUCCAUGGGGACUGUCAGGAGCCCUAUGCCAUCAAUGACUCCAAGGUUCCCAGUCAAACCCAGGAGCACAAGCCAUCGACCCAAAAUUUGCUGCUUCAGAAGGAUGAGCUUGACAGACAAAAUCCCAAGCGCAUUAACGCAGUCUCCCAUUUGCCUUCGAGAACACCCCUGAUCCAGACAAAAAAGAGCACUUCCUCCAGCAGCAGUGAGUUUGAGGAUCUGAAUGCAUAUGCUUCCCAAAGAAAUUUUUACAAGAGAAACUUAAACCGCUACUGCCAGGAGCACUGGCCAUUCCAGCCAUGCCUCACUGGGAGGCCCUGAGCAUUCUAGCCGGCGGCUGCACAGCUGCUGGGGCAUCUCCAUGAGGAAGAGGGCGGUGGACAGGAGUCAUGAAGACUAAUUCGGAAACUCCCCUGAAGGAGGAGAAGACAUCUGAGCCAUCCUUGUGCCACCAAGCAAGAGUCACUCCAGCUCCUAAAAAGCCACCAUGGGAAGAGCUGCCUCCAAUUAAAGUUCUUGAUUGCACCA
rnacentral:lncRNA from 1 species